rnacentral:RNase_P_RNA from 1 species
AGACAGUCGCGCGGCCGGGCCGAAAGGCCGUCCGUGAGGAAAGUCCGGGCUCCACAGGGCAAGGAUAACGGGUAACGCCCGCCGAAGGCGACUUCAGGAAAAGUGCAACAGAGAUAUACCGCCAGAGCGGUUGAACUGUGCCGGUCACGAUGGAAAAGCUGAUACGAUGGUUGCACACAGCUCUCUGCGAUUGAGUCGCAGGGGUGUUGUGUGAAGAGGGACGAAGGGUCCCUUUUCACGAUUGCAACCAUCGCGCCGCAGCGGCCCGAUUCCGCAGGAAUCGGGAUCUUUCCACCCUUACCGUCAGAGUUCAGCCGCGCUGGUAAGGGUGGAAAGGUGCGGUAAGAGCGCACCCGACGGCUGGAGACUGUCCGUCGCUGUAAACUCUAUCCGGAGCAACACCGGAAUGGGAGCUGGGGGUCCGACCCCCGGGGCUUGCCCGGCCCGCUCCCGGGGUGGCUGGAGCGUACCGGCAACGGUGCGUCGAGAUAGAUGACUGUCAGAUACAGAACCCGGCUUACAGUUUUGCUCG